rnacentral:rRNA from 1 species
AUUGAACGCUGGCGGCAGGCCUAACACAUGCAAGUCGAGCGAGCGGCCGACGGGUGAGUAAUGUAUGGGGACUGCCCGAUCGAGGGGGAUAACUACUGGAAACGGUGGCUAAUACCGCAUACUAUCGGAUAACCCAUAUGGGAUUAGCUAGUGGGUGGGGUAAGGGCUCACCUAGGCGACGAUCUCGAGCUGGUCUGAGCGGAUGAUCAGCCCCACUGGGACUGAGACACGGCCCAGACUCCUACGGAGGCAGCAGUGGGGAAUAUUGCACAAGGGGCGCAAGCCUGAUGCAGCCAUGCCGCGUGUAUGAAGAAGGCCUUAGGGUUUUAAAGCACUUUCAGCGGGGAGGCGUUACCCGCAGAAGAAGCACCGGCUAACUUCGUGCCAGCAGCCGCGGUAAUAC